UUACUUUAAGACAUGAAGGUCAGUCAAUCUGGAAAAUUUCAAGAACUUUGAAAGUUUCUUCAAGUGCAGUUGCAAAAACCAUCAAGUGCUAUGAUGAAACUGGCUCUCACGAGGACAGCCACAGGAAAACAAGGCCCCGAUUUACCUCUGCUGCAGAGGAUAAAUUAGAUUUACCAUGGCUAACUUGUAUCUAACUAUUGUUGUGUCUCUCUGUGUUUCAGAUCUUCUAUGACCUGGUCAGGCAAAUCAACAGGAAAACCCCAGUACCUGGGAAGACACGCAAAAGUCCAACUGUCAGCUCCUCUAAUACACAGCUGCUCUGUCGCACUGAGCCAGGUCUGAUUUGCUGCUGUCUCUCUCAGCAGUGCCAGCAUUCCGACGUUACUAAAACCUAACAUGGAAUGGAUUUUCCUGUGUGGUGACGCCCCUUUAACAUCAACAACCAACAAACAAACCGACCAACGGAUUCAAAGCUACAAUACAUCAGUUUUUACACACAGAUUAACCAUUAUCACUCUCCAGUGUCACGAGAACAAGAUUUCUACUUAGAAAUAUAGAUAUUCCAACUGUAUCAAACUGAAAUGGAAAAAUGAAAUGGGUAAAUAGGUAAAUAGGUAAAUCAGUCAAUAUGAACCAAAAUAAAAUCCCAAUCCCCCAACACACAGUGUUAUUGCUAACGGAGACAGUAGCCGUAGAAACGGAUGUCUAACCAGAAUGUGCACGUUGCCACGGUGAUGCGGUAUUUAUUAAGCACCUCUAUAUUAGCCAGAGAGAAAAAGACCCAAAGUCCCAAAGAGGCACCUAAUAUAGUUCAGUUCAUACAGAUAAACUUGCUCCUGGGGGUUUAUUUUCUAACUUGUUUUAUUUUCCUUCGAUCAUUCAACAUAAUUUCUCUGUCUUUUU